UGGUGGAGCGAUUUGUCUGGUUAAUUCCGAUAACGAACGAGACUCUAGCCUAUUAAAUAGUUCACCCCAUCUCUACUCGUGGGUGUCAACUUCUUAGAGGGACAAGUGGCUUUCAGUCACACGAGAUUGAGCAAUAACA
rnacentral:rRNA from 1 species